rnacentral:lncRNA from 1 species
GACAUGGAGGGUUGUUGUGGUAUUGCUGACAUUGUCAAUUAAUUUCUAGAAAAAGAAAGCUGGCAAGACUAAGACACCACCAAUCAUGGGACAUUUGCAGAUGUUAUUAUUUGAUUGAAAAACAUGGCUAGUAAAGAGUAGAAUAAAAAGGAAAGGGAACAACAGAAGAGGAAGUAUGUGUGUGUGCCACUAUCAUCAGGAAACAACUCGGCAACUGAACAAAUAAUAGACCGCGUUUAGAAAUACGAGGUGCCGGGAAUUAUACAUAAGCUAGCAUGCAAUGGGCAUGACGCAUCCUGGAGUAUAUUGACAGACCAGCAACAGAGCACAAGUGACCACGAUACUAUGCCUGGUCCUUACUCUUAGUGGUUAUGCCACUAGCGAUGUGCACGGUGCUGACUUUCUGCAAAUCACCCAUUAUUAUUCGGUUAUUGCCCAAAUUGCUGUUGAUGGCACUCACAAGUCUAUAGCAGGCCACAUAGAUCCACGGUGCAUCACCCCUGACUAGCUGAAAUGCUGCCUUCCUGAUAUGUGAACUCAAUCAGUACCCCACUGGCAUCUGAUUUGCGGUAUGCUUGGAGGAGUCAGCAAAAGUUUGUUAUGAAACCACGCCAG